GACGAACGCUGGCGGCGUGCCUAAUACAUGCAAGUCGAGCGAAGCGGCGGAUGGGUGAGUAACGCGUGGGUAACCUGAAAUUAAGUCUGGGAUACCAAUUGGAAACAGAUGAUAAUAACGGAUACUAAAGGAAGGACCUGGGAUGCAUUAGCUAGUUUGUAAGUUAACUGCUUACCAAGGCGAUGAUGCAUACCUGAGUUUAGAGACUGAUCGGCCACAUUUGGACUGAGACACGGCCCAAACUCCUACGGGAGGCAGCAGUAGGGAAUCUUCCACAAUGGACGAAAGUCUGAUGGAGCAACGCCGCGUGAGUGAAGAAGGUUUUCGGAUCGUAAAGCUCUGUUGUUGGUGAAGCGGUAAUCAACCAGAACGUCACGGCUAACUUCGUGCCAGCAGCCGCGGUAAUAC
rnacentral:rRNA from 1 species